UGCAUCAUUACAUGCAUAUAUAUUCUCUCAUAUGGAUGCAACAAUGUCCAACCAUUUCAAGAGUUUAGGUUAAAAGCAUUUGUGUUGGAGCAAAUAUCAUCAUGAAGCUAAGAAGCAUUCUUCUUAUUGUGUGGGCUUUGUUUGCUCUCAUCAGCCACACAUAUGGGGAAAUCCGUUUUUGCCCAAAAGAAAUGACGUUGGAUGGGUCAUGUCCACUUGGGACUUCAGGACAAAGCUGCUUUCUUGAAUUCCUUGAUAGAUUGGGAGCAAGUGCCAUGCCUAUGAAUUGCUCUUGUAAAGAUGAUCGUACCAAGAAUAAACGCCUAUGCACUUGUAAUGUUGUGUGUAGAACAUGAGACAAUUUUGCAGCAGUCCAAAUUAAUCAUAAAAUAAAAAAUGUGUACUGAUCUUGUAUUUACACAUGUUGAGAAUUUUGAAAAGCCAUGAUCACCUACUGUUCGAUCCAGUUAUUAUAGUUAAUGAUAUUUUCAAUUUGUUGCCUAAA